GACAGCUUCACGCCACUCAUAGCUGCUGUGGUGAAGGACAAUGUGCAGAUAGCAGCGAUCCUGCUCACGAAGGUGAACGUGAAUGCCAGCGACUAGUGGAACAGGACGGCUAAAAGCCACUCAUAGCUGCUGUGGUGAAGAACAAUGUGCAGGUAGUGGCGAUCCUGCUCACGAAGGCGAACGUGAAUGCCAGCGACGAUUGCAAGAGGAGCGCAGUGAACUAUGCAUGUACUUACGGACACCCAGAAGUGGCAGGUCCUUCUAAAGAGGAAGUGUGAAAUCAAUGCAUGUGAUAGUGACAGAUGCACACCUCUGAUUAAG